GAUGAACGCUGGCGGCGUGCCUAAUACAUGCAAGUCGAGCGAACAGACGAGGAGCUUGCUCCUCUGACGUUAGCGGCGGACGGGUGAGUAACACGUGGAUAACCUACCUAUAAGACUGGGAUAACUUCGGGAAACCGGAGCUAAUACCGGAUAAUAUAUUGAACCGCAUGGUUCAAUAGUGAAAGACGGUGUUGCUGUCACUUAUAGAUGGAUCCGCGCCGCAUUAGCUAGUUGGUAAGGUAACGGCUUACCAAGGCAACGAUGCGUAGCCGACCUGAGAGGGUGAUCGGCCACACUGGAGCUGAGACGCGGUCCAGACUCCUACGGGAGGCAGCAGUAGGGAAUCUUCCGCAGUGGGCGAAAGCCUGACGGAGCAACGCCGCGUGAGUGAUGAAGGUCUUCGGAUCGUAAAACUCUGUUAUUAGGGAAGAACAAAUGUGUAAGUAACUAUGCACUUCUUGACGGUACCUAAUCAGAAAGCCACGGCUAACUACGUG
rnacentral:rRNA from 1 species